rnacentral:lncRNA from 1 species
UUGUCGAUUAAUGGUUCGUUGUAGAUAUAUUUCUCUACUGAUAAGAUAUGUAAAUACAUGAUGUCUACAUAUACGAACACAAAUUUAUGGCGUUAUAAUAAAUGCAAAUGUAUAUAAGUAGAUAUACAUACAUACAUAUGUAUGUCUUGCUUAAGGUUUUUGUAAUAUAGAAAGCAUUAAAUAAAUUUGUAACAGCUAAACCGAUAUUGUAGCCACCUUCGGAAAUAAACACACUUCGGUUGAAACUUGGACCCCUUUUACUUGUUCAUUACCUAGGAAAAGAAAACGUUCACACGUAGGAUUUUUUUCAUUUAGACAUGCGUUUUGAUGUUAUUCGUAAAAUUGUGGCUUUAAAACCUUUAGGCAGCUUCCGAAUGGAUAAUAUCUACUUGUACAAUGUUAAGAAAACAGCGUUGAAAAUUCCUACAUGAGUUCAUUGAAUAUCUAAUGUAUCUCGAAGAACAUUUGGCGGUUAAGUUUUGUUCACUUUUACGCGAAUUCAGUGGGCUUAAAAUAAGUGUACACUAUGGCGCUAUUUCUUUCUUUACCCAGUAAACGAAAACGUUUCUUCGGGGAAGCCAAGGAGUUUAUGACCUUACCAGCAGUACCGGCAAGCUACUUCCAUAUUAAAUGCUUCUGGGUGUCAAGGCACAGCGGAAUCGUCUGAAAUUGUAAAGCCGACGAGCUUGCAA